GAGUAGAACCGGUCGCCAUGUCCGCGGGGAGCGCGACACAUCCUGGAGCUGGCGGGCGCCGCAGCAAAUGGGACCAACCAGCUCCAGCCCCACUUCUCUUCCUCCCGCCAGCGGCCCCAGGUGGGGAGGUCACCAGCAGUGGGGGAAGUCCUGGGGGCACCACAGCUGCUCCUUCAGGAGCCUUGGAUGCUGCUGCUGCUGUGGCUGCCAAGAUCAAUGCCAUGCUCAUGGCAAAAGGGAAGCUGAAACCAACUCAGAGUGCUUCUGAGAAGCUUCAGGCUCCUGGCAAAGGCCUAACUAACAAUAAAAGCAAGGAUGACCUGGUGGUAGCUGAAGUAGAAAUUAAUGAUGUGCCUCUCACAUGUAGGAAUUUGCUGACUCGAGGACAGACUCAAGACGAGAUCAGCCGACUUAGUGGGGCUGCAGUAUCAACUCGAGGGAGGUUCAUGACAACUGAGGAAAAAGCCAAAGUGGGACCAGGGGAUCGUCCAUUAUAUCUUCAUGUUCAGGGCCAGACACGGGAAUUAGUGGACAGAGCUGUAAACCGGAUCAAAGAAAUUAUCACCAAUGGAGUGGUAAAAGCUGCCACAGGAACAAGUCCAACUUUUAAUGGUGCAACAGUAACUGUCUAUCACCAGCCAGCACCCAUCGCUCAGUUGUCUCCAGCUGUUAGCCAGAAGCCUCCCUUCCAGUCAGGGAUGCAUUAUGUUCAAGAUAAAUUAUUUGUGGGUCUAGAACAUGCUGUACCCACUUUUAAUGUCAAGGAGAAGGUGGAAGGUCCAGGCUGCUCCUAUUUGCAGCACAUUCAGAUUGAAACAGGUGCCAAAGUCUUCCUACGGGGCAAAGGUUCAGGCUGCAUUGAGCCAGCAUCUGGCCGAGAAGCUUUUGAACCUAUGUAUAUUUACAUCAGUCACCCCAAACCAGAAGGCCUGGCUGCCGCCAAGAAGCUUUGUGAGAAUCUUUUGCAAACAGUUCAUGCUGAAUACUCUAGAUUUGUGAAUCAGAUUAAUACUGCUGUACCUUUACCAGCAGCCAGUUCAACCUCCCUACGGAGUACCAAGCAUAGUGCCACCAGCUGUUUCAUUAGCACCUGGAGUCUUGCCGGCAUUACCUACUGGAGUCCCACCUGUGCCAA
rnacentral:sRNA from 1 species